rnacentral:rRNA from 1 species
UGGGGAAUUUUGGACAAUGGGCGAAAGCCUGAUCCAGCAAUGCCGCGUGUGUGAAGAAGGCCUUCGGGUUGUAAAGCACUUUUGUCCGGAAAGAAAUCCUUGGCUCUAAUACAGUCGGGGGAUGACGGUACCGGAAGAAUAAGCACCGGCUAACUACGUGCCAGCAGCCGCGGUAAUACGUAGGGUGCAAGCGUUAAUCGGAAUUACUGGGCGUAAAGCGUGCGCAGGCGGUUUGCUAAGACCGAUGUGAAAUCCCCGGGCUCAACCUGGGAACUGCAUUGGUGACUGGCAGGCUAGAGUAUGGCAGAGGGGGGUAGAAUUCCACGUGUAGCAGUGAAAUGCGUAGAGAUGUGGAGGAAUACCGAUGGCGAAGGCAGCCCCCUGGGCCAAUACUGACGCUCAUGCACGAAAAGCGUGGGGAGCAAAACAGGAUUAGAUACCCUGGUAGUCCACGCCCUAAAACGAUGUCAACUAGUUGUUGGGGAUUCAUUUCCUUAGUAACGUAGCUAACGCGUGAAGUUGACCGCCUGGGGAGUACGGUCGCAAGAUUAAAACUC